CUAGCAUGCAGUCGAGCGGUAUCGGGGGGCUUGCCCCCCGGGAGAGCGGCGGACUGGUGAGUAACGCGUGGGUGACCUGCCUUGAGGCUGGGGAUAGCCGCUAGAAAUAGCGGGUAAUACCGAAUACGUUCGCCGGACUGUGGUCUGGCGAGGAAAGGGGCUCCGGCCCCGCCUUGAGAUGGGCCCGCGUCCUAUUAGGCAGUUGGCGGGGUAAGAGCCCACCAAACCGAAGAUAGGUAGCCGGCCUGAGAGGGUGAACGGCCACAUUGGGACUGAGAUACGGCCCAAACUCCUACGGGAGGCAGCAGCUAAGAAUAUUCCGCAAUGGACGAAAGUCUGACGGAGCGACGCCGCGUGGAUGAGGAAGGCCGAAAGGUUGUAAAAUCCUUUUGCGGACGAAGAAUAAUUCUUGCAGGGAAUGGCAGGGAGAUGACGAUAGUCCGUGAAUAAGCCCCGGCUAAUUACGUGCCAGCAGCCGCGGUAACACGUAAGGGGCGAGCGUUGUUCGGAAUUAUUGGGCGUAAAGGGCGCGUAGGCGGUUACGUAAGUCUGGCGUGAAAGGCGUGAGCUUAACUCACGGACUGCGCUGGAAACUGGGUGACUGGGGUCAUGGAGGGGUAGUUGGAAUUCCUGGUGUAGGGGUGAAAUCUGUAGAUAUCAGGAAGAACACCGGUGGCGAAGGCGAACUACUAGCCAAUGACUGACGCUGAGGCGCGAAAGUGCGGGGAGCAAACAGGAUUAGAUACCCUGGUAGUCCGCACUAUAAACGAUGCACACUAGGUGUUGGGACGAGCGUCUCAGUGCCGGAGCGAACGUGAUAAGUGUGCCGCCUGGGGAGUAUGCCCGCAAGGGUGAAACUCAAAGGAAUUGACGGGGGCCCGCACAAGCGGUGGAGCAUGUGGUUUAAUUCGAUGAUACGCGAGGAACCUUACCUGGGUUUGACAUGGUGGCGGAUGGCGCAGAGAUGUGUCAGCGUAGCAAUACGGGCCACCACAGUGCUGCAUGGCUGUCGUCAGCUC
rnacentral:rRNA from 1 species